UGGGGAACAACAGCAAUCACCUUUUGGAACUGACCUGAAAUGAAGAGCGUGCUCAUUGCUAAUCACUU
ensembl:snoRNA